GUGGGGAAUCUUAGACAAUGGGCGCAAGCCUGAUCUAGCCAUGCCGCGUGAGCGAUGAAGGCCUUAGGGUUGUAAAGCUCUUUCGCUGGGGAAGAUAAUGACUGUACCCAGUAAAGAAGCCCCGGCUAACUCCGUGCCAGCAGCCGCGGUAAUACGGAGGGGGCUAGCGUUGUUCGGAAUUACUGGGCGUAAAGCGCGCGUAGGCGGAUUGGAAAGUUGGGGGUGAAAUCCCGGGGCUCAACCUCGGAACUGCCUUCAAAACUCCCAGUCUUGAGUUCGAGAGAGGUGAGUGGAAUUCCGAGUGUAGAGGUGAAAUUCGUAGAUAUUCGGAGGAACACCAGUGGCGAAGGCGGCUCACUGGCUCGAUACUGACGCUGAGGUGCGAAAGCGUGGGGAGCAAACAGGAUUAGAAACCCGGGUAGUCC
rnacentral:rRNA from 1 species